UCCAAUGCUUUGACAAAUGCAAAGAAAGAAAAUUAGUUGAUCGAGUAUUGAUAUCAUUCUCUGGAUGAUUGCGAAUGAAUCUUUUGGAGGAAAGAGGGAAUGACGAGAAUCGAGGCACGCCUAGAUUUUUUUUAUUCAUGAUUUGCACUAUUGGAAUCUCCAUAAUUCCUUGCUCCUCUAAGGACGAGGACUCCUAAAGGCACAAGGAUUGACUUAAGGAAUCAU
rnacentral:lncRNA from 1 species